AAUGAACGCUGGCGGCGUGCCUAAUACAUGCAAGUCGAGCGACCACACGAGGAGCUUUCUCCUCUGCCGUUAGCGACGGACGGGUGAGUAACACGUGCUUCCCUACCUAUAUGUCUGUGAUAACUUCGGGAAACCGGCUCUCAUUCCGGAUAAUUUCUUCCACCGCUUGGUUCCAUAGUAACUUACGGUUUUGCUGUCACUUAUAGCUGGAUCGCUGCCGCAUUAGCUAGUUGGUAAGGUAACGGCUUACCAAGGCAACGAUUCGUAGCCGACCUGAGAGGAUGAUCAGCCACACUGGAACUGAGACACGGUCCAGACUCCUACGGGAGGCAGCAGUAGGGAAUAUUCGACAAUGGGCGAAAGCCUGACCGAGCAAUGCCGCGUGAGUGAAGAAGGUCUUCGGAUUGUAAAGCCCUGUUAUUGGGGAAGAAAAAAAGUAGGAGAAAAUAUGGAUGUUUUGACGGUACCUAAAGAAUAAGCAACGGCUAACUACGUG
rnacentral:rRNA from 1 species